GGCCGAGUGGUUAAGGCGAUGGACUGCUAAUCCAUUGGGGUUUCCCCGCGUGAGUUCGAAUCUCAUCCUGAUCG
rnacentral:tRNA from 1 species